UUUUCUUCUUGUCCAUUGCUGUGGUGUUGAAAUUUAUCAAAGGGGACUGCUGCGGAGGGGGCUUGGUGGGGGGCUUGUUGACUUCCCCUCUUCUUUUUGUUUCCCUUCUCCUCCAAAUCUUUGGAUGGGAAGAUUGCCCGUGUUUCACUCGCUGGUGUUCUUGGGGUUAAGAACAGUUCGUGCGAGUGAAACUUGAAGAUAACUUUUAAAGCCCCUGCCUACCACGUUUUAACCAGUUGUCUCUGUCUUGUCUCUCUUGGAAAGGAUAGAAGCCCAGCACAGCUCUCCAUCUCUUGUUUUAGUAAGGAUCCUCUUCCCCCGCUGCGAGAGGCAGCAAAGUGCUGUGUUACACGUUUAUCUUCCUCCUGUCCCCACUCUGGGGGAGGGACUGAUGUGAAGGGUUAGAAGAUUGGGGGAAAUGAAGCCGGCUGAAUGAACUUGCAGGGAGGAUCUGGCAAGUGAGGAGUCUGGCAAAGGCCAGUGGUUUCUGUGUCUCUCCCUGAGCAGCGGAGGCUGGGAUAGAAGCCAAGGGAACCCUGGUUUGGAGUCCUCUAGCCCCUGCAGUUAGAAGCUGGUUGUGGGGACCCCCGUAUCUGGAGGAAUACCCGAAUCAAACUUUCCUUGAGAAAUGAGAGGCUGGUGUUGGACUGGGGACAUCGAGGACCAGGGGCAAGGUCUGUGGGGCCCUUUUGGGAGCAUGGCUGGUGGGCUUGUGGCCUGGGGGUGUGCUGGCUGGGACUGACAGCCCCUCAGGCUGGGGCUGCAUCCCUAGUGGGUAUGGCUGGCUGGCUGCGUGUCUCCGUCGGAGCCAUUCUUCCCUUGUCCACAUCCAUGCAUGGCAGCAGCUGCAGUCAUCGUAGCCAUUUAUUGGUAUGCCAUGGCCGGACACGCCACUCAGCUCCCUUUAUGUGCAUUCUCCGGGAGCAGCCGCAGGCUGUUUGCCUCCAGGGCCUGUGCUCCCCAUCACUGUUUGUCUCCCACUUUUCUGCAAGGGCCAAAUGCACCUUCGAUAAAUGUAUUUCUGUAAAGUUCCAUCAUUCUUGAUAUAGACUCUCUGCAACUCUUAAGGAUAAUGCAGCUCUGGCUGCUCACGGCUGCCUGGGCAUUUCCCCAGCCCAGAGCCUUUGCCCAUCCAUUCCCUUCUCACCGAGGCAGGGGAGCUUACAAGAGUAGGUUGUUGCAAAGAUGGAGAGGCUGGAAGCAGAAGCAGGAAUGUGACUUGCCACACAGGGUUCCACAGUGGGCAACCUGGUACUGGGGUCCAGGUGAUGCUGGGGUCCAGGUGGUACUGGGGUCCAGGUGAUGCUGGGGUCCAGGCCUUCUGGGUCUUACCCCUCAAUGCCUUCUGGUCUCUAGUGGCCCACCCAAUUAGGGUACUUCCUUCUCUAAUUUCUUCCUCUCAAAGACCAACCAGAUGAACACAAGUUAAAAUUUCAACCCUUUCUUUUUCCUCUGUACCUACAUGAAUGAAAGCCACAUAUAAUUUUGAAGCAAGGCGCUUAAAAGUAUUUCUGAAUUUAUGACUUUAUGUCACUGCCAGCCCUCAGAGUAUACUUGAUUCAGAUGGAUUGCGUUGGCAUUGGUUGGCUGGACAGAUGGGUAAUUUUUUGACAUCCUCUUUCUCCCAAUUGCUAAUGUCAGAAAGUCCGUGGUGUGUGUGUGUGUGUGCGCGCGCGCACAUGUUCACGUACACACACACAUCUUAACAGUUUUAAGGUGUUUGCAGAUGUAGUCUUAUUUGAUCCCAGCCAUUCCAGAGGGAGCCUGGUGUGGCUCAGGCUAGAAGGACCAGACCCCCAAGCACUGGCAGAAGGCCCCUCCCUCAAUCUGGAGGCUGGGAGGUCUCUAGAGACCCCUAGGCCAUUCGUUUUGUUGACUUUGGGCCUCACUGGGCCUGUUUCUGAGAUUUCUGCCCGGAUAUCCCAGAGCAGUCUCUGGUACUGGUUAGUAAGAAGGUCCCAGCCACUCUUGAUGGUGCAAAAGGACUGUGUUGGAAAUGUAUCCAAUGACUUAGAAUUCUAAGGGGUAGAAGGCUUUGGGGAAGAAAUUGGGGAUUUCGUAUGCCAAGGACAUUGAGUGAGGUCUUGAAGGACUUAGGUCUGAAUUCUGGGUGGCCUCAGUAUUUGAGUGGAGUGUUUCCCUUUGUGUCCUCCCAGUCCCUUCCAGAGAUGCCAUGCAUAGAAUGUCCCCUCUCUCCUGAGGGCCCACUGUUAGCUUUCCCAGCUUGCUCUGUGCUAUGGGGAUCUGAGGUCCUGUGGGUUAAGCUGCCCACCUGCCUACUGGGAGCCCACAGACAUGGGGGUGUGCUGGCUGUCACACUGGAGGACAUAUUCAGGAAGGGAAAUGGCCUGGGGGUGACAGGUCUUGGUGGGUGGUGAAGGCAUGAAUCUUCCUGCAAGAUGGAAUGCAAGAUUGUGUGGGAGGGCGGGGCCGGAGGUGAAGUCAGAAAGGUAAGAGGCAGAGGUAGGCACCAUAUGUUGGGCCAGGCCAGGGUAUUUGAUGUCUAAGGACAAAUGAUGAUGGUGCUGAUGAUGACAGCAGUUGACAUUUAUCGACACUCACUAUGUGUCAGGCACUUUGCUAAGCUCCAGCAUUCUUCAUUUCAGUGAUUUCUUUCCAUGACCCAGUGAGACAGGUGUGAUUCUCCCCAUUUCAUAGAGGAGGAAACUGAGGUUCAUUGCUGGACCAACUGCCCAUAAUGUAAGUGGCAGGCUUGGAAUGUAAGCCUCGACAGUGUGACUUCCCAGCUCCCACCCUGAGAAGCCCCGCCCAGCGUUCCACAAGUGCCCUCAUCCCCUUCCCCAAGCUAGACCCGGCAGGAGCAAAGUAAAAUGAUCACAAGGAGCCUGGGGGCACCUGUCCUGAUUUAAGUACCGGGGAAAGGGAUGAGGAGCCUAGCAAGGGUGCAGGGCGGCUCCAUGCCCUUCCAGGCCACCACUGGACAAACCUGCGGACCACCCGGAGAUCACACCACUUGGCUGCCUGGCCCUCCAUCUCCCUGUGUCCUGGCGGUCUGCCGAUCCCGAGAGCCUUGUCACCCUCGGUGUCCUGGGAUGGAUGUCAUCCUCAAACAGGGUCUCUGCAGCCCCACGAUGGAGAUUGCCCUUGUUUGUCCCCCAGGAGGACAACCCCAGUGCUGGGCCUGGGACUCUGUGUUUUAUCCAGCUCCAUGGUCUCUGCUUUACUUCCGUGUCCUGUUGUUGAGGCCACUUAGGGGAAUGGUGGGGUUCUUGAGGCUUAGUCCCAUGCGUGGGCAGGCAAGGAUGCUUGAGUGGGCAGAGCGAGGGGCCGCAGGAAGGGAGACACACUUGCUUCAGCUCUCUGCUGAGUAGUUGAUGGAAAACCUUUAUUUGAUCUCUAUGUCAGCUCCCAAUUUGGAUACGUGAUCUCCACUAAACAGUGUAGAGGGGGCAAGUGGCUUCACCAAGGUCACUGGGGAGGGAAGUGGUGGAGGAAGGCUAGAAUGCAGAGCUUUUACCAAAUCCGAAGACCUUACACCUGGAGUCUUCGAUGGGAUUUGGGAAAAAUUAAAAGCCUAGAACUUUUGGAGUCCCUUCAGAACUCUGGCACUCUGGUUUCCUCGCCUAAUUCAGGGCCUGGGGUGCUGUCCCCUGCCUGUCCAAGGCCUCUGCCAGGCAGUAUUUCUAUUCCUCUUCCAUUUGCUUGAUUUCAGUUUAGUUUGGGGAAGAAAAGAAGAGAAGCUAGUUUAAGAAAUUCAUACUAAGGUGUGAGUGGCUGGUAGGCACACUUUUUUUUUUUCCCAACUUUAAA